CCUACGGGAGGCAGCAGUGAGGAAUAUUGGUCAAUGGGCGGGAGCCUGAACCAGCCAAGUCGCGUGAGGGAAGACGGUCCUAUGGAUUGUAAACCUCUUUAGGCGGGGAGCAAUGCAGGGCACGCGUGCCCGGAGGGAGAGUACCCGCAGAAUAAGCAUCGGCUAACUCCGUGCCAGCAGCCGCGGUACUACGGAGGCUGCGAGCUUUACCCGGAUGUAUUGGGUUUAAAGGGUGCGUAGGCGGAUUUUUAAGUCAGCGGUAAAAUGUCCGGGCUCAACCCGGGCCGGCCGUUGAAACUGGGGAUCUUGAGUGGGCGAGAAGGAUGCGGAAUGCGUGGUGUAGCGGUGAAAUGCAUAGAUAUUAGGAGGAACACCAGUGGCGAAGGCGGCCUGCUGGACGACAACUGACGGUGAGGCGCGAAAGCGUGGGGAGCAAACAGGAUUAGAUACCCUAGUAGUC
rnacentral:rRNA from 1 species